UUGAAUCGUGGGACCCGUUGGCAGAGGUGGCGGCAGCGGCAUGGGUUACCCGACGUUGCCCCCUGCCUGGCAGCCCUUUCUCAAGGACCACCGCAUCUCUACAUUCAAGAACUGGCCCUUCUUGGAGGGCUGCGCCUGCACCCUGGAGCGGAUGGCCGAGGCUGGCUUCAUCCACUGUCCCACUGAGAACGAGCCAGACUUGGCCCAGUGUUUCUUCUGCUUCAAGGAGCUGGAAGGCUGGGAGCCAGAUGACGACCCCAUAGAGGAACAUGAAAAGCAUUCAUCCGAUUGCGCUUUCCUUUCUGUCAAGAAGCAGUUUGAAGAAUUAACCCUCGGUGAAUUUUUGAAACUGGACAGAGAAAGAGCCAAGAACAAAAUUGCAAAGGAAACCAACCAUAAGAAGAAAGAAUUUGAGGAAACUGCAAAGAAAGUGCGCUGUGCCAUCGAGCAGCUGGCUGCCAUGGACUGAGGCCUCUGGCUGGAGCUGCCUGGUCCCAGAGUGGUUGCACCACUUCCAGGGUUUAUUCCCUGGUGCCACCAGCCUUCCUGUGGGACCCUUAGCAAUGCCUUGGGAAAGGAGAAGAUCAAUAUUUUCCAAUUAGAUAUUUCAGCUGUAUCUUGUUUUGUCUGGAAAGUGGCACCAGAGGUGCCUCUACCUGUGCAGCGGGUACCGCUGAUAACAGUGACUGCCUCUCUCUCUCUUUUUUUUUUUUGGCUCAUUUUUGUCUUCCUGAUUCCCGGACUUACCAGGUGAGAAGUGGUGGAGGAAGAAGGUGGUGUCCCUUUUGCUAGAGCUGACGGCUUUGUUGGCGUGGGCAGAGCCUUCCACAGUGAAUGUGUCUGGACCUCAUAUUGUUGAGGCUGUCACACAGUCCUGAGUGUGGACUUGGCAGGUGCCUGUUGAAUCUGAGCUGCAGGUUCCUCAUCUGUCACACCUGUGCUGCCUCAGAGGCCACUUUUUUUUUUUUUUUUUU